UACGGAGGGUGCAAGCGUUAUCCGGAUUCACUGGGUUUAAAGGGUGCGUAGGUGGGCAGGUAAGUCAGUGGUGAAAUCUCCGGGCUUAACCCGGAAACUGCCGUUGAUACUAUUUGUCUUGAAUGUCGUGGAGGUGAGCGGAAUAUGUCAUGUAGCGGUGAAAUGCUUAGAUAUGACAUAGAACACCAAUGGCGAAGGCAGCUUACUACACAAUGAUUGACGCUGAGGCACGAAAGCGUGGGGAUCAAACAGG
rnacentral:rRNA from 1 species